AUUCUUGUCUGGGAGGCAGAAUACCAUGAUCAAAAAGGUGGUUUCCACAGGGUGAGGCUCUUUUAUUGCACACUUCGGUUGGGUUGAUUUCUGUGAUUUCCUGAAAUGUGGUAAACUCAACUGGGUAAUUUAUGAUAGUAGAGGACUGCAUUUGUGCAGUUCCCUG